rnacentral:tRNA from 1 species
CUGGUGAUGAGAUCAGUGGUAGAAUGCUUACCUAGCAUGUGUGAGGCCCUGGGUUCAAGCCCCAGUACUAGG